UUUGACAGUUCCUGAUUCCACUGCCGCCACAGAUUUGGUCCUUGGAACUGGCAUAAUGUCUACUUCAGCGGAAGUGACUUCUUCACCUGAAUCUUCUACUAUUACUGUAACCACCUCAACAGAUUUAGUAGCAACCACUGUGACCUCCACACCAGAUACAUCUUCAUCCUCAGCAGAAGUGACCUCUCCCUCUGAUGUAUCUUCAACUUCAGCAGAAGUGGACACACC